GAGGCCGCGAGCCGCCAUCUUCUCGCAGGCUUCUUGACCCGGGCGGCGUGCGGGGCUGCGGGCGGCGGGUUAGCGGAGCCCGUGCGGAAAUUUGAGAGCCCCACUCUUGAAGAGAUGACGUGUAACAGUCCAGAUAACUCUGAAGCUUGUGCCACACCAGAUUGUGACUAUGACCAAGAGAUGGCUGAAGAGUACUCCAGACUGAGGACUUUUGCCAACUUUCCAAAUUGUUGUCCUAUUUCUGCAUCAACACUAGCACGAGCUGGCUUCUUUUAUACAGGAGAGGGAGACAAAGUGAAGUGCUUCAGCUGUCAUGCAACUAUUGAAGGGUGGGAACAUGGAGACUCAGCAGUUGGAAGACAUAGAAAAAUUUCCCCAAAAUGCAAAUUUAUUGCUCGAUUUAAUUUUUUAAAAAAAGAUAUGCAUCCUGUUCUCCAAAACUGUCAAUGCAGAGUUGAAAACUGUUCUGGAAAUUCAACCCUCCAGUGCUCUUUUGACAGAUCAUCUGAUCUCAGUGCAGAUUACCUUUUGAGAACUGGGCAGGUUGUGGACAUGUCAGAUAGCAUGUACCCCAGGAACCCUGCUAUGUGCAGUGAAGAAGCUAGGUUAAAGUCUUUUCACAACUGGCCAGCCUAUGCGCCAUUAACACCAAAGGAGUUAGCCAGUGCUGGGCUGUAUUACUCAGGUGUUGAUGAUCAAGUGGAGUGCUUUUGUUGUGGUGGAAAACUGAAAAACUGGGAACCUUUUGAUCGAGCUUGGUCAGAACAUAAGAGGCAUUUUCCUAGGUGCUUUUUUGUCCUGGGCCAUGAUGUUGGAAAUGUUGGAAGUGUCCUAAAUGAAUCUAAUUUUGCUGAGGUUGGUAGGAGUGGCUUAAACGAUGCAGAUCACCCAAGAAAUCCAUCUAUGGCAGAAUAUGAAGCACGGAUCAAGACAUUUGUGACUUGGAGAUACUCAGUUGUUAAAGAGCAACUUGCUGAAGCUGGGUUCUAUAGUAUAGGUAAUGGUGAUCAUGUUUUGUGCUUUCACUGUGGUGGAGGACUGCAAGAGUGGCAGCAGAAUGAAGACCCUUGGGAGCAACAUGCUAAAUGGUUUCCAGGAUGCAAAUACCUGCUACAAGAGAAGGGCCAAGAAUUUGUAAACAGUGUUCAGUUAACGCCUUUACCGAGGGAUUCCAUGAUAGAAGCUUCUGAGAAGACAUCACUACUUAUAGAUGAUGAUCUCCUGCAAAACCAGUUGGUACAGGAUGCCAUGCGUAUGGGUUUCAGUUUGUCUGAGAUUAAGAACAUUAUGGAGAAGAAACUGCAGACAUAUGGAGAAAACUACACAUCUGUUGAAGUUCUAGUUUCAGAUAUAAUAAAUGCUCAAAAAGAAAACGUACAAGAAGAAGUAACCAGUGAGAGAUCACUACCGAAAGGUCUGACCCUACUCAGAGACAUCACAACUCCAGAGAGAAAACUUGAGGAGACAGGAAUAUGCCCCAGUCCACCCAGAUAUAGUAUUUGUCCGCCAGUACCAACAGCUCCAACAGUUGAACUGGACCCUACCUUCUCCUCUGCCAAGUUAGAGGCUCCAGACGGAGCAUCUCCUCAACACAGGGAGGCUAGCCCAGAUGAGGUGGUUGCCCCGUCUUUGCCAUCCCCACCUGAUGACCACAAGCAGUAUCUCAGGAGCCAAGACCAGAGCUCCACAUCCAACCCAAGGAGGGACAGGAUACUCAGCACGGGCUCCUGGACAUUCUGCAGCGUUCUGUUCCUGUUUGGGUGGCCCUUCCUGUCAACGGGGCCAUUAUGUAACCAGCCAGGUUAGUUUGGCAUACUCCUGCUUCCUGCACCACUGCUCUAAAAAGGACUUGGAGGCGUUAUGUACCAGCCAAGGAAGUGGAUUUUCCGUUUACACACCCAGCACCCAACUUCCUGGUGGUACAAGCAACCACUGAGAUCUAGGCUAGAGCAUCCCAAGACAACACCCACUAGUAAGGGUGCUAAAUGCCUUGACUGCUUAGGCAGGGAAGCUAUUUUCUUUCACUAGACUUCAAUUUUGAAUUGCUAACUAAUAGGCCCUGUUCGCAAAGUAUGAUUCUUCUUCGGGUGCUUUUUCACGUCAGUUCUAAUCAGGUGUGCAUUUGUGCACGGUCCUCAGAAAGCUUUCUCUUAGCAGCUCCUGUCGGGUCAGCUGUGGAGCUCCCUGGAGUGGCGCCUUCAUGGCACUCAAUAUAUGACCCUGCUGACCUGCGCCCCCUUCAGCUUCUUCUUACUGUCGGAACAGUGCUCACUUGCUCAGCAAGUGCUCCCUUAACGUUCUCCUGUUAGUCAUUCAAGUUUCAAGUUAGUGUUAUAGUUAAUUUAGUACAUAGUUGUAUAGACAGUUUAGAUACUAGGUUGGGAGCGGGAUCUUCCCCAAUCCCUAACCCCCCCACCCCUUGGGCUCUGGGGCAUGCCACGAGCCCAAGGCUUUAAGCCCUGCAGUGCUUGCAAUAAGCCUAUGCCCAUCAGUGAUACCCCAUGACUCUUGCUUAAAGUGUCUGGGGGAGGCGCACCAAACGGAGAGGUGCAAAAUCUGCAGGGCUUUUUGGCCAAGAACCAAGAAAGAAUGUGAUUUCUGCCUAAAACAACUUUAAAUGGAAUUGCUCUCCGCCCAGAGUCGGCUGCGGCUUGUCAGGAUCCGGCACAGAAUGUGUCUGUACGUAGUGCUCCGGCAUCCGUAUGUGGCACAGUGCCAAGGAAGGACUCUAGCACAAGAGAUGCUCCCUGGCACUGCAGCCAGGAAUAGCGGCCCGGCACCACUCAAUUUCCCCGUCGCUUCACAAGCGACACAAGAAGGGUGAAAGGGGGCGCUCACCGGCCCCAAAAGCUACGGGAGCGUCAGGGGAUGCAUGGGUGCACCCCAGAAAGGACCGAGCACCAAGUGAGCACAAGUCGGUGCUGUUGACUUCGGUGCCUCAGAGGGGACUGUUGAGUCUGGCAUGUAGCGACUCUCUAGCAGGGCAGUGCCAGGUGGAGGUGUUAGAGCCACCCUCUACUCUGGACACUUUUGAAGCCGCCAGAGACCUGAUUGAGAUAUAGUGGCACAGCCCCCAGUUCUCAGAGACAAGCCUCCAGUGUCUAUAAGACUGGUACGUCUAGAAGCAAGCCCACUAUGAUGCAGCGCUCACAGUCCCCGGCUCGGCACCAUACCUGGCACCGCUCUCAGUCACCUUUGCUGCGGCAUCGCUCCCCGGCACCAAGCCCCAUGAAAGCACCUCUGGCACCGGCGACGCUCCCUCUCCCCAGCAGUGAGGCUGGACCGGCACCGAUCUCUGGCAUCAACAGAGGACCAGCACUGACCCGCAGCGACGACAGAGGACCGGCACCAGGCCUUCGUCCUCGAUCGUCAGCACCAGACACUCGUUACUGGUCUCUGUCGCCAGAUCCCAGGUACUGGUCCCCAGCGAGGUUGUCCUGGCACCGGUCCCCCCCCCCCCCCCCAUCGCAGCAAUGAUCGUCGGUGCAUGGGCCUUCGCCGCCACUGUGGCCAUCGCAAUCAGGCUCCGCUUCCUCGGAGUCUGAUGCCGUCUUGUACUACUCGAGGGUCAGUUAACAUUGGUCCGAGAGGUGACAAAGGAAAGUGCCGCUGACUUGGCAACCAUAGUGGCAGCCCCUGGCACAGUGGCCCUUUUAGAACCCCCGGGCUUACCAUCAGGCCCAGGGCACCUUUUCAAAGGGGUCAAGAUUGGUAGCCUCAGAACACAGGCUGCACCACUCUCCCAGGGAUAGGCCCACGCCUUGGGGAUCCGAGGCCACUCUGUCCCAACUGCCCCCUCAGGCUCAGGUCGUGGCUUAGGCGACUCAGACACAGGAUGACCAUAGGGCACAUCAGGAUCUCCUUAGGCGGAUUGCUUGCAACAUGGGGUUGCAAGCAGGGGAGGUGGUCGAGGCUGAGGACCCCAUGGUGGACAUUCUUACUCCUGAAGGCCCAUCAUGGGUAGCUCUGCCUUUGAUCAAGACUGUUCAAAAUAACAUAAAGACCCUGUGGCAGACCCUGGCCUUGAUUCCGCUGGCUGCCAGAGGUGUGGAGCGCAAAUACUUUGUCCCUUCUAAGGGAUAUGAAUACUGAUUCUCACACCCGCAGCCAUGCUCUCUGGUUGUGUCUGCAGUUAACGAGAAAGAGUGUCAGGGUCAGCAAGGGCCAGCCCCCAAGUCUCAGGAGGCAAAAAGGAUGGACCUCUUCUGUAGGAAGGUCUAUGCCACUGGGGGCCUCCAGCCGAGGAUAGCUAACCAGCAAGCUAUCCUCAGUAGGUAUAACUUCAAUUCAUGGACUUCCAUGCUGAAGUUCAAAGAGCUGAUCCUGUGGACUUUAGGGCUGAAUUCUCCACCAUCGUUGAGAUAGGAGCAGUGGAGGAGGUUCCUCAGGAGCUAAGGGGCAAGGAAUUCUACUCCUGCUAUUUGCUAAUCUCCAAAGCAAAGUCAGGGGUCUCAGACCCAUUCUAGACCUGCGAGGACUCAACAAGUUCAUGGUGAAGUUGAAGCUCCGCAUGGUCUCCCUGAGCACUAUUAUCCCUUCUCUGUUUCUGGGAGACUGGUAGCCCACCCAGGACAUGAAAGACUCGUUCUUUCAUGUAGCCAUUCGGUCUGCACACAGACAUUUUCUCCAGUUUGUGGUGGACCACAAACACUAUCAGUUCACGGUCCUCCCAUUUGGUCUGUCGAUAGCCCCCCAAGUAUUCGCCAAGUGCAUGUUGGUCGUAGCAGCCUUCCUGUGGAGGAGGCAGGUGCAGGCAUACCCAUACUGAGAUGACUGGCUGCUCAGAGGGCGUACCAGGGAGCAGAUGGAGUUUCUAGUCCGAUUGGUCAGAUCCACUUUCGAGAGACUGAGACUCCACCUCAACGUGAACAAGUCAACUUUGUCACUGACCCAAAGAACAGAAUUCAUCGGCAUGGUGCUGGACUCGGUAUAGGCAAGGGCAUUCCUGCCAGAGAACUGGGAGAUCUCCGAACCCAGGGCCUGUGGUCACAGGAUGAGCUCUCCCUCCAUAUCAAUAUCAGGGAGCUCAGAGCAGUGCAACUAGCAUGACAAACUUUCCAGGCCCGGCUGCAAUGCCAAAGCAUGGCAGUGAUGACAGACAACACCACUGCUAUGUUUUACAUCAACAACCAGGGUGGACCCUGUUCAUCCCCCCUAUGUUGAGAAGUCCUCCAGCUAUGGGAGUUCUGCAUAGCCCAUUCCAUUCAUCUGGAGGCAUCCUAUCUCCCAGGAGUGCAGAUCGUUCUGCAAACACGAAUGUCCUUCAUCCCAUCUUCCAAAGGUGGGGGUUUCCCCAGGUCGAUCUAUUUGCUGCCCCGAGCAACAGGAAGUGCCCAAUGUUCUGCUCCUUCCAGAAACACAGCCAGGGUUCAAUCACGGAUGUGUUUCUGCCACCCUGGGGAGACCACCUCAUGUAUGCCUUUCAACCAGUCCCGCUCGUGCACAAGGUGCUGCUCAAGAUCCACAGGGACAAGGUGGAGGUAAUUCUGCUGGCCCCAGUGUGGCCCCGUGAACAUUGGUACCCGCUAAAUCAACUGCAGAUCACUCUCCCGUUGACUCCUGUACUCCACCGGCUCAAGAAGAGUAGGGGGAGUCAAUGGGAGAGCAUCUCCCGUCGACAUCGCAUAGUGUGGACCCCGCGCACUUCAGACUUCCGAUGAGGAGAAAAGACUUGACUCUCUCAUCAUCUGACGGGCUUUGGCAUUCUAUCCGCAGAGGAUGAAACCCAGUAGGAAAAUGCAUAGAUUAUUUGUUGCUUUAUUCGCACAAUCAAAAGGACAAGCAUUUUCUGCUCAGAGACUCUCUAAGUGGAUCUCCAGUUGGAUCAUUCUUUAUUAGCUACUGCAUAUUCCUCCCCUGGAUGGAGUGAGAGCCCACUCCACUACAACACAAACAACUUUGUGCUCUUCAAGAUGUACCUAUACUGAACAAAGUACUGUCAUGAAAUAUUGCAUUAGUCCAGACCUCUUCUGCAGAUGCAGCUGUGGGGACAGCAGUAUGCUGACAUCUAUACCAAUUGCUUUCUUGCACCCCACAUCCUGUUUGACUACUGCUUAUUAAUUACCCAUAUGUAAAAUGCACAUAGAGACUAGCACUUGAAGAAGAAAUGAAGGUUUACUUACCUGGAGGUUCUUAGAGAUGUGUGGUCCCUAUCUGUAUUCCACUACCUGCCCUUCUUCCCCUCUGCUGCAGAUCAUGACAGGAUUGGUGGUAAGAAGGAACUGGAAAGGCAUUGGUCAACACCACCCCUUAUAUGCUUGGAUCAGAGCACGAGGAGAACAACUGCAAAGUCCAAAGGACACUACUUGUUAGAAAUCUCCAAUCUCAGGCAUAUGGUGCUCAGGCAUAGCUGCAUGUGGAAUACAGAUAGCGAUUGCACAUCUAGAAGAACCUCCAGUUACAGGUAAGAAACCUCCAUUUAAUUAUCAGUCUGUAGUUCAUGGGUUUAGAUAUGUUUUAAUUCCUACUUAAUGCCUUCCAAAUGAAGUUCAAAAUGUGAUGUUCAUUUAUUCCAGAUGAUUCUGGAGGUUGGGAGAAAAGUUCACAAAUACUCAGUUUGGCAUAUUUCUCUUAGUUAUAUUUGUAAUUUUUUUGUUUUGGGCCUGAUCCAAAGCCCAUUGGACACAAUGGCAAGACUUCCAUUGACCUCAGUGGUGUUGAAUAAGGCCCUUUUAAAAUAAAAUACUUUAAAGAUUUUCUUUGUAUUAUACAGUAGGUCUGACAGUAAUGUAGGGCCAAAAGUAGUCAACAAAAAUAAGUACUGCAAUCCUGCAUUUUUGGACAAAGAUCAUGUAGUUACUGCCAACAUUCCCAGUAUAUUUCCAUUAUCCUUGCCCACUAGUUUUCCAAGAGGAUACCAAACCAUAUAACUGCUAGUUUUUAAAAUUGUUUUUAUUUAUACUGUAACCAGAAGAAGGGGAAAUGUUUGCAUGAUCUGCUACAUUUGAAAUAUAACUGUAGGAGGUUAACACUAAAACAUGAUUACCAUUUGCUAAUAACAUAUACUAAGCUUCAACCCAAAAGGAAAUGAUUUUGCCCUGACUGGAAACUUGAACUAAAGCAGUGAAAUAUAUCACCAUAGUACUAGAGUAAAGACUAUUUAAAGGAAAAUAUGUUACUUUUUGGGGCAUGCAAACUCAUGGUUGCCACACGUGGACUACAUAUAAGGCCAGCCUAUCCAACAUGUGCAAGACUAAAUCCUCCAAAUCUCUAAACCCCCUUAGAUUGUGUAACUGCAGAGCUACUGGGGGUUUAUGUGGAAACCCAACAUGGCUGCAACUCAUGAUUCUAAGCCUGACUCUUCUACCCCAACUCUCCCAUUGUGUACAGGAUUAACCCAUAUAUCCAACCAGGGCUAGGUGCUGAACAGUUUUGUGUUUACAUACAUCUUGCAUUUCUGUGGUGCAGGCUUUUCCACACCAGAUUAUUGAAGAAAUAGUUGGGUGCCUUGGGUGCCCAUUUGUUCUUGUACCUGUUCAAUGUGAAAUGGUUCCAAUCUCCUUUUCUUCAUUUACUGUUUUUAUUAUUAUUUUUGAUUCGGGGGGAGGGGGGAAGGUAGAGGGACCAAUUGGUCAAAUGGGCCUAACCUCUUCUCCUUUUAGCACAGUUCCAUUGAUGGAGCUGAAAUAUGGAUAAAUGACUUUAUUCCAUGUAUCUCCUUUAAACAUUUCCAUGGGUAGUCUGAAAAUCCAUCUGACAGAGAACAAACCUUGCCACCAUUCCCCUGCAGUUCAGAUUGUUGAGAACACCUCAGAAUCCCUCAAAAUCUUCUCCAUGAACCUAGUUGCCAUAAUACAUGUCACAUGACCCUGGGAAGAGGACAGACCUCUGUGGUUCCAUAAGGCCAAAAUUAGCAUUGUUUAGCUGCCUGUGGUGAGGAAACACCCCAUUAUAAUAGAGAAUGUUCUCCACAGCCACGGAGCAGAAAGAUACAGUGGCAUUCCUUGCAAGAGGAUGUGGAUAUUCCCAAUUUAAACAAAGAUGGUGUCAAAAUUAAAGUAAGGUAAGGUAAUUAAAGUAAGGUAUGAUCAGUGCUGUUGAUACUACUGUGUGAAUGUUAUGCAUCAGAGGCAUUUGCAUUGCCUAUAUAAGGAGCUAAGGAGAGUACUUGUUUUUAAAUGCUUGGACAUGUCCCUUAAAGUAGUCUGUGUAGAAAAUACAAUGAUAAGAUGGUUGGGGUACAUUGGGAACAUGUAAUGUACCAAGAAUGAUAAGGUAAGUGAAAAUCUUCUGCCUUCUGAGGGUAACACUGCUUUAUACUGACCUAGCCUAUAACAGGAGUAACGACAGGAUCUGGAGGCAUGGAUAACUUGGUUAGUGACUGUCAAAACAGAUUGUAAUUACUGGAAAUCCAAGUUUACUAAAAAUGUAUACAUGUACCUGUAAACAUUUCACAAUUAAAAGGAGUGUCUUGAAUGUA